rnacentral:misc_RNA from 1 species
GAUGAAGAACGUAGUGAAAUGCGAUAAGUAAUGUGAAUUGCAGAAUUCAGUGAAUCAUCGAAUCUUUGAACGCACAUUGCGCCCCUUGGUAUUCCGAGGGGCAUGCCUGUUCGAGCGUCAUAUUAACCACUCCCGCUUGCGGGGUCUUGGGCUUCGCCUCCGGGCGGGCCUUAAAAUCAGUGGCGGUGCCGUCGGGCUCUACGCGUAGUAAAUUUUCUCGCGAUAGGGUCCCGGUGGAUGCUUGCCAACAACCCACAACUUCUUAAGGUUGACCUCGGAUCAGGUAGGGAUACCCGCUGAACUUAAGCAUAUCAAUAAGCGGAGGA